UUUCAUACAGAUAAAACCAUAAGCAGCUUAGGAAAUCUUGAAAGAAACUGGUUUGGCAAGGAUCUAGUCCAGUGUUUCCAGGAGGAACAGUCACAUCAAUUGGAGCAACAAGGCCAAGUCGAGCAGGCAUUUCCCUACACAAUCUUCCGGCCUCAAGCAGUGGAACUAUGUGCAAGGAUAGAAAGUUGCUUCCGCGUCUGGAGAUAUGAGGAAGGCUCUAUGGAUAUGCAGGUUUGUGAAUAUUGCUGCAAGUUUGACUCAUCACAAUAUGAGAAAGUUUCCUGAAUUCAUAUUGAUUGUGGCCUAACAACUUUGUAAUAUCAUAUUGAUUAAUACCUGAGUUAUUGGGGAAAAAAAGAAGGGCAUAAGGAGAUCAAAUUUUCUUUCUAAUUUGGUUAACUAUCGUUAUCAGAUAAUUAUGUAACUAUUUCCAGGACUGAUGCUUAACUACUUCAUUGAGCACGUGGAUGUUCAAGAGCUUGUUGUACAGCUUUCCCUCGAUUAUAAGUGAAUAAGAGAUUCUAUCACCAGCCUUGAUUUACCAUCAUUACACGGGGAGUUUCUAAUCAAUCAUAUGAUAAAUCACUUAUACACGAAAGCAAUGUUGUAAGUAUUAUCGUCAUUUUCACUCGUUAACGGUUUUGAGUUUGUCAAACUAUUGAUUCUGGAGGAUGUAUGGUUGAGCUAGGACUGGUUUAUAUAGCCAAGUCAUUGUGUGAUCCCAACUUCAGCAGCUACGUGAUUUUCUUCUCUUUGCUUCUUUUUCUCUGAUUCCAUAUUAUUAAGUUUUCUGUAGAUAUGAAUAAAUCUAGAAUUUAAAAGGGUGGACCGAAAGCAAGGUCCAUAGUUAAAAUCCUAGCCACGGUGGAAAAAACUAUUCAGCUCAAUGCAAAUGAAUUACGAAAAAGUACACGUGUAAAAGCUCCAUCUAGAAAGUUAGCAGAUUUUAUAGUGACAACUGGAAGGGCAAAAAAGGCGAGCAGGAGUUUGUUACAAAUAGCUGUUAGUAGCAGAGCAGUAGGCAUCAUUGCUGUUAUUGAGUAUUUUCUCUAUUUUCCUCAUCUCCUUUUCUAAUCUUCUUCUUCUUCUUCUUAAACCUUCAGUGGUUUCCCCUAUCCUCGCUCUCACUUUUAUUGUAAUUCCUUGUUGAGUAUUUGGAAUACUAAUAUUACCAAGUUGUGUUGGAAUUUGCUUUAUCCACAACAUCAACAGGUAAACGAACAGAGUUACUUGACAUAAUUAAGAAGAUACAUGUCCUAGUUAGUUCCUAGUUACAACAGAUUUCUUGACCCUCCCCCCAAAGAAAAAGAGGAGGAGGACCAUAAUCCAAAUUUUUGUGGUGUAUUGGCAGCAUUUAUUGCAAGAGCUAGAUUCAAAAGUUGAUUUGCAUGGGAUGUCUUUAGUCUCUGCCAAAAUAUCAUCAUCACAGAGUGUAGGAUUUUAGUGAUUUGCAAAUCUAUUAACACUUAAAAAGAAGUGCUCAAUAUGGAACCACCCUUUUUUAUGAUUGCCCUUCUAGAUUAUUGUUGUAUGGGCAUAUAAAAAUCACCUGGUGCUGGUGCUGGUGGUUGUGAGUAAUGCUUAAUAUACUUCAUUGCAGAUCAUACUUUGCUCUGCUGUCAAGCUGUUCAGGGGGGAAAAAGAAGGAUGCGACUAUAGGCGAGCUGAACAUAUCAUACCUUGAUGUCUGUAAAUCAACUUAAAUACCACCAGUGGGGAUCAUGGAGCUAUCAAGCAUGUGUAGAGUGCUAGGAGACCAGGGGAUUCUAAAAGUUGGAAAGGUUAGAGAAGAAAAGUUAUGUAGAGUAUCCGAAGGUAGAUGAGGCAGACGUCACCUUUGCAUUGCAGGGAAUACUUGAUGGUCGACAUAGUAAAAGAUUGUGAUUCUCUACUAUUUAUUCUGUUGCUAAACAAACAGCAAAUUUAUGGUCCAGAAUAGAAGGUAUCAAACCAGGUCAAAGUGGCUAUAAUUUAUGGAGGAAUGGAAGAGGAACAUCUGGGUUCCAUUGAAUGCUGGAAUUUCCUUGUGGCUCCCUUAUCAUACUUUUAGUUCUCAAAUAUGUUACUGAAGUUGAAUGAAAAGAAGAGUUGUGGAUAUACUCGGCAUAGCAACUAAGGAAUUUUUUUUACUAUGUGUGCAGCAUGUCAAGUCAUACUUGUGUUGCUUGAUUGACAAGUGGACUGAUGUAGGCUCCACUUUCCAAGCAAUCAAAGACCCAUAAUCCCUUCUUCUCAAUUUGCAGUUCACUAUUUGUUCUCCAUUCUUUUUUGCAACAUCUCUUCUUUAUUUCAUCUCAGCUAUUUUUUUUAGUCCUAUCAAAAAGAUGGAUCAAUAUCACUAUUAUUUAUUUCUCUACCCUUAUUUAUUCAUAUACUCAUCUGUGUUGUUACAAUUUAUUUGAUUGGCUCUUUCUUUUGUCAUUAAUCAUUGUAUCCCUCGACCAAAUUAAUAAGAAAAAAAAAUUAAUCAUUGUAUGUGGAAAAACAAAUUAAAAUCUGUGAAAGUUUUCAUUUCACAUCUUAAAAAAAAAAAAAAAAAGAAGAUAAAUCUUGAAUAAGAAAACAAAAUUUAUAUUUGCAGUAACGAACAGUAACGAGAAAACUAACAAAUAUGAAAAAAAAAAAUUGCUCGAUAAA